rnacentral:tRNA from 1 species
AGAGAUUUAGGAUAACAAUAGACCAAAAGCCUUCAAAGCUUUAAGUGGGAGUGAAAAUCCCCCAAUCUCUG